UACGUAGGGGGCAAGCGUUGUCCGGAUUUACUGGGCGUAAAGAGCGCGCAGGCGGUCGUUCAAGUCGAGUGUGAAAGCCCCCGGCUCAACUGGGGAGGGUCACUCGAUACUGAUCGACUCGAAGGCAGGAGAGGGAAGCGGAAUUCCCGGUGUAGUGGUGAAAUGCGUAGAUAUCGGGAGGAACACCAGUGGCGAAGGCGGCUUUCUGGCCUG
rnacentral:rRNA from 1 species